GAGGCCCUGGCGCAGAACCUCCCUCCGUGCAGCCGUGCCAAGCCGGGCCUGCCCACCAUCAUGGCCAAGCAGCGGUCGUUCCGUUGCAAGCUGGCCAACAAAAGCAAGUAGCUAGGGCGAAGGCUGGUGGCCCUCCCCCACCCCCUGCGCUCCUCCCCCACCCCCAAGACCGCGGGACACGAGGGGAUGGACGGAGACAGCGCCCAGACCAGUGUCGGAGUGGAUGCCAAGGAACAGAGGGAUGGAAGCUGACAAGGGAUGGAAGGGGUGUGUGGUGGCCCUCCCCGACCCCCUGCGCUCCUCCCCCUACCCCGAGACCGCUGCGACGAGACCAGACCAAGGAAGGAACGGAGUGGAAUGGGAAGGAAGGAGAGGUGGAGUGUAUGAGAGGCGUGUGAGGCUGGAAGGAAGGGGAAGGAAGGGAAGAGAAGGAAUGGCAAGGAAGGGAAGGGGAGGGAAGAGAUGGAGCUGGCAAGGGAAGGAAUGGGAAGGAAGGUAAAGAGGGAAGAAGGAAGGAAGGAAGGAAGGAUAGGAAAAGCAAUGAUGAGAAGGACUUGAAGGAAGGAAGGAAGGAGGGAAAGGCAGCUGAUGUAAAAAGGAGAGAAAGAAAAGGAAAGGAAGAAGGAAGUGAGGGAGGGAGGGGAAUGUGGUGCUAGCAAAGGAAGGGAGGGGAAUGUGGUGCUAGUGGAGGAAGGGAGGAAGGAAGGAAGGAAGGAAGGAAGGAGGGGAAUGUGGUGCUAGUGGAGCAAGGGAGGAAGGAAGGAAGGAAGGAGGGAGGGGAAUGUGGUGCUAGUGGAGGAAGGAAGGAAGGAAGGAAGGAAGGUUUGGGAGGUGUUCUGGGGACAGCCACAAGAGCCACUCCAAUCUGUGUGUGUGUGUGUGUGUGUGUGUGUGUGUGUGUGUGUGUGUGUGUGUGUGUGUGUGUGUGUGUGUGUGUGUGUGUGUGUGUUUAAGAGCCAAAGGAUUUCUUGAUCUGGUGGUGUGUGUGCGUGGCCUGGUGUGUAUGUCUGUGUGCGUGUGUGUGUGUGUGUGUGUGUGUGGACCCUCCCGUGUGUGUGCGUUUCUUCCCCGAGGUGUCGUGUGCGCGGGGGAGAGUAUAAAUACUUACAUAUGUGUACCGUGUACACUCCAUGUUGAGGUGUUAUCCCUGCUAUCACUUUGUGGUGUACUACUGCUAUUACUACUACUACUACUACUACUACUACUACCACUACUACUACUACUACUACUACAUGUGACCUGCUGGGUGUGUGUGUGUGUGUGUGAGUGCGUGUGUGUGUGCGUGCGUGUACGUGUGUGUGUGUGUGGCUGUCCAUGCACACACCUCCUCCUCAGUCUGUUCUUAUGUCAGUAUUUUAUCUUUUGUAUAAGUUUAUUUUUAGUGCUGCAUAUUGUGUGUGUGUGUGUGUGUGUGUGUGUGUGUGUGUGUGUGUGUGUGUGUGUGUGUGUGUGUGAGAGUUGCCUGAGCAUACACAAAAUUCCAUCCUAUCCAAGCUGUCUAUGGGUCACCACCACCACCACCACCACCACCACUGAAGUAUCGCAACCAAGAAAGAAAGAAAGAUAAGGAGGAGUGUUGGAAGGGGUGCUUCACUUGGCCAACAGAGGAGGGAAGGAAGGAAGGAAGGAAGGAAAGUGUUACAGUCACAGAACACCAAAAAAUCAUUGUUCUGUAUGAAGGAUGUAUAAGUAUUUUAGGUUGAAGGCACGGAGGAAGGGUCACACUACCACCAGGGGCAUAAAACUACCCCAGGAAAUGCCCCCACAACUCCUAGGAAAGCCCUGUCAAGUGUGUUUGCCAGGGUGAUGAAAUAUCUAAGAAUGUGACCCACUAACACACUGAAUAGAAUUGUAAGGAAGUGUGUGGAAGGGAAGGGAGGGAAGGAAAGGGAGGAAGAGAUGGAGCGUUGAGAAGAAAUUAAAAGAAGUAGAAGAGAAGGAAGGGAGGGAGGAAAACGAAAGGGAAGAGGAAAGGAAGGAGAGGGAACAAGGUAAGAAAGAAAAGAAGGAAGGAAGGAAGGAAGGAAGGAAGAGAAAAAAAGGAUGUAAGGGAGUCAACCGAAAGAAAAAGAAAAAAAAAGCCUUGCCGGAUGGGUGGUGGUGGCGCUGGUGGUGGUGGCAUGUGCUGCGUGGUAGGCCCCUCAAGGCACAAACCAAGCUGCUAUUCUUUUGUGUUCUGUGUGAGAGAGAGAGAGAGAGAGAGAGGAAUGUCAUGUUAGUAUAGAUCAAGUUUCAAUGAGACUAAUGAUAGGUGCUUGGGUUCACAGACAGACAGGAAGGGAAGGUUCAGUGUUAAGACAGACAGACAGGAAGGGAAGGUUCAGUGUUAAGACAGACAGACAGGAAGGGAAGGUUCAGUGUUAAGACAGACAGACAGGAAGGGAAGGUUCAGUGUUAAGACAGACAGACAGGAAGGGAAGGUUCAGUGUUAAGACAGACAGACAGGAAGGGAAGGUUCAGUGUUAAGACAGACAGACAGGAAGGGAAGGUUCAGUGUUAAGACAGACAGACAGGAAGGGAAGGUUCAGUGUUAAGACAGACAGACAGGAAGGGAAGGUUCAGUGUUAAGACAGACAGACAGGAAGGGAAGGUUCAGUGUUAAGACAGACAGACAGGAAGGGAAGGUUCAGUGUUAAGACAGACAGACAGGAAGGGAAGGUUCAGUGUUAAGACAGACAGACAGGAAGGGAAGGUUCAGUGUUAAGACAGACAGACA